ACUCCAUCUUAUACCUGUGUUUUCUCUUGCUGGAGCUCUGGGAUCUGCAUAUUGGGAAAGUUUCCCAGCUCUAAAUCCUGGACAGACUACAAGGAGCAGCUAUUUGAGGAUUCAAAAGUAAAUAGCAGCAGAUGGACUGAGGAAGAACAGAAUUCAAAUACCAGCAAACAAGUGGAAUUAUUUCCAGUCCUAUUAUUUUACAUCAGAUCUUCAUCAGCAGUUUUCCAGUUGCAGAAACCACUGCCUUGUACUUCACCCAGAGCAAUUUUCAGAGCAGCUGUGCUGGCACAGAGCACACGGAGAGUGGGCCACGCGCGCCAGUGGUACGUUCCCACAUCUGAACAGAAGUGGCCGUUUCCAUGCACCCAGGGCCAAGAAACUCUACAGCUCAUCAGAGGCAAAACAAGGGAGGAUACCUUAAGUGGAAAUAGUACUUAGAAAAAACUUUUACAAAAAAUGAAAAAUAAAAGGGUU